UUACUUCUUACUGAUGCUUUUUCUGUCAUUCAUUUAUUGCCCUCCCUGAAAGUUGCCACAUGUGCGAGUUUUGUAACUCAGUGACGGUUUUGAAUAGAGAGCCCCCCAACUUAUCAAUUGUCAGGCACAUCAAUAUCAAUUUUUCAGUCUGCAUGCAAGUGUAAAAUACUAUUAGUAAAAUCCUAAAUUAAUUUGCCAUGCAUUUCGUUUGGCUUUCUUCCUGCAACACAGCAUGAAACCAUAAGUAAAAGAAACAGUAGACAAAUUGCAUUUGCAGCAAAAAGCAUCUAAGGUGAAUAUGGGUAUUCCUCAACGCAUCCAAUAAUAUCCAGGAUCUGAUUAGCUAAGGCCUGUAGUCAAAGAUUGUGUGCCUUAACCCAUCAGAUGCAAAUUAAAAGAAACAUGACAAUGCAAAUUCACAUAAUAGCAAUCUGAAUAUAUAUAUCACUUGAUAACAUGGACACUAUCACUGACUCAAAUUAGCAAAUCUAAUAACCAAAGAAAGACGGUGUCGGACUCGUAAACCACAAAGAAUCAUUGGAUUCCAUCAAUUUACAGAAGGACGGUGUCGUAAAAAAAGCCGUCUCCAUAUACCAUAGUUAAGAUCCUUCAUCAUUCUAUACAAGAGAUAAGUCCUUCUAAAGGUAAAUACUUUUCUAAUCUUUUCAUCCUAUUUAUAAAUACCAACAUAGUAAUGAAAGAUAACUAUGGCCACCGGAACACAAGAAUCGGCCCUUUUCCUGCAUUAAGAAUGAAGCCUCCCACACCACAGCGACAAGAUCCCUAAUUUCCUCGUAACUCUUAACUGAGGUUUAAAACUAUAGGCUGGGAUCAUAUGUACGUAAAAGAAAGACGAAAAUUUAGUUACUCCUAAGGUAAAAAACUUAGAAUAUGUACUCCUUAAGUAUGUCAACAAAGCACUGUCAAAUUCCGUUUGCUCCAAAAGCACCUAAGAAUUCUCAAAGAAAAACAUUACCUGAAUAGUUUUAUCUCUCAUCCAUGACAAAAGAACAAGAGCGCAAAUUAGUAAUCGACCGACUACCUCGUCAUUGCUACAGGAAGAAGUACAAACAGAUAUGAUGGAUUGGAAUCUCUAGAAAUCUGAUCUUGGUUGUAAGAUACAAAAAGUACACGCUUCAAACUCGUAGCAACCGCUAAAAUUACUAUGCUCAGAUUAUGAAGUUGAUUCAGAACCUGAAGGAUAUUAUUAUACGUUAAAUUUACAUGCAAUGUCAUGGGUUUCUAAUGCUAUUCUUUCCAUAAAAUUUGAUUUUCACCUGAGUAACCCAAAUAAUAAGGAUAUAGAAUCAACUCGAUACAAAUUAUCAAACUGAAACCAUAAUUUUUUUUUAUUGUUUCUUCAGUAUAAACCAAAUCGAAUUAGAUGGAAUGAAUAUUACUUAGACUAAACCCAGCUUAUUGUCACUUGAACCGUGAAAUGACUGGAGAACAACAAAAUUGACGAAAUUUGACAGGUUUUCAGUGAAGUCUUCCUUUUCAAUACAUUUUUUUUUUUUUCAUUCAAAAAAUUCGAAGCCAAUAUGUUGUUUAAAAAAUCUAAAUUCAGUAUAACUUGCACCAAUGAAAUGUUAGUGCUUCCGAAGGUGCGUGAUUUAACGAACAAAGCAAAAAGAAAAUCAUAAAGAAAAAUGUUUUCAAGUAGAACAUGUGCCUAAAGUCAUGAACAUAUGGAUGUUAUGCCCAACCAAAAACCACGGAACAGAAACAGAACAAAUCUCAAGAAAUUAAAUCCUUCAGCUUCAACUUACGAUUCAGUGCAGUGUGAGAAUGCAUCAGAACACGAACAACCGAAAUCCUCGUAACCAUCAUCAAAGUCCACGACAUUUGACUACAAUCGAAACGACAGGUUCAAGCGAAAAACAGAACAACCGACAGGCUAUGAAGAGGAUUUGAAUGUACCUGAAGAAAUUGAGCAGUUUGAAGAGAUCUGUGUCCUCGGAAAUCGUCUCGAAACGACGUCAAUCCGAUGCUCCAUACGUUCGUUUCGUUCGGACUUCGAAGACCCUUUGCUGAAGCGAUUCAGGUUGUAUGAUGGAUUAUGUCGAGCCAAAAACGGUGCCGUUCUGCGCAACGUGUUGUGAGGUUGAAGAUGAGAAAGCGAAAUGCCGAAACAGCGCGCAUUCGCGUAGGCCCCACACACAGUUACCAUUCGCGACGCUAUUUGGAAUGCGGGACCUAUUAUUAAG
rnacentral:lncRNA from 1 species